rfam:Camelus ferus unplaced genomic scaffold scaffold117, whole genome shotgun sequence.
GCGAGUACAGCUCAGUGGUAGAGCACAUGCUUAGCACUCAUGAGGUCUUGGGUUCAGUCCCCAGUACCUCCA